CUUUCUGUCCCAAACUACAUUUCGCUUCUCCCCAGGUUGACUUUAAUCGUGGCCCAGUAGGCCGACUGUAUUACAAAGCGAAAGGAGAAAUGGCGCGGUUUCUUGGCCCACCAAUCUACACCGAAUUUUCCUUUAAUCGGUUACGCUCGGUCCACGCGACGUUCGUUCACCUUCCGUUUCGUCUAUUUACGCUCUUUUUGGCCGGAAUGAAACCUAUUUCCAUUCUCUUUCACCCUUCAUCGACCAUAAAAUAUUACCCGGACUUCAACGUUGUUCCGUUUAUCUCGCUUAAAAAAAAACAAAAAAACGCUUG
rnacentral:lncRNA from 1 species